AAUAAGCGGAGGAAAAGAAACUAACAAGGAUUCCCCUAGUAACUGCGAGUGAAGCGGGAAAAGCUCAAAUUUAAAAUCUGGUGGUUUUGCCAUCCGAGUUGUAAUCUGGAGAWGCGUUUUCUGUGCUGGACCGUGUACAAGUCUCUUGGAACAGAGCGUCAUAGAGGGUGAGAAUCCCGUCCAUGACACGGACGCCCAGUGCUAUGUGAUACGUUUUCAAAGAGUCGAGUUGUUUGGGAAUGCAGCUCAAAAUGGGUGGUAAGCUCCAUCUAAAGCUAAAUAUUGGCGAGAGACCGAUAGCGAACAAGUACCGUGAGGGAAAGAUGAAAAGCACUUUGGAAAGAGAGUUAAACAGUACGUGAAAUUGUUGAAAGGGAAACGCUUGAAGUUAGUCGCGUCUUACUUGACUCAGCCUUGCCUCGGCUUGGUGUAUUUCAUGUGAGACGGGUCAACAUCGAUUUCGACCGGCAGACAAGGGGAGUAAGAAUGUGGCACUCUUCGGAGUGUGUUAUAGCUUAUUCUCAUAUGUGUCGGUUGGGAUCGAGGACCGCAGCGCGCCCUUGUGGCCGGAGGUUCGCCUCACGUUACGCGCUUAGGAUGUUGGCAUAAUGGCUUUAAGCGACCCGUCUUGAAACACGGACCAAGGAGUCUAACAUGCUCGCGAGUGUUAGGGUGGAAAACCCUUGCGCAGAAUGAAAGUAAAAGUUGGGAACCUCCGCAAGGGGGCGCACCGACGCCCGGCCCAGAAGUUUACGGACGGUGCUGCGGUAGAGCGCGUAUGUUGGGACCCGAAAGAUGGUGAACUAUGCCUGAAUAGGGCGAAGCCAGGGGAAACCCUGUGUGGAGGCUCGUAGCGAUUCUGACGUGCAAAUCGAUCGUCAAAUUUGGGUAUAGGGGCGAAAGACUAAUCGAACCAUCUAGUAGCUGGUUCCUGC
rnacentral:rRNA from 1 species